GGACGGGUGAGUAAUGCUAGGGAAUCUGCCUGGUAGUGGGGGACAACGUUUCGAAAGGAACGCUAAUACCGCAUACGUCCUACGGGAGAAAGCAGGGGACCUUCGGGCCUUGCGCUAUCAGAUGAGCCUAGGUCGGAUUAGCUAGUUGGUGAGGUAAUGGCUCACCAAGGCGACGAUCCGUAACUGGUCUGAGAGGAUGAUCAGUCACACUGGAACUGAGACACGGUCCAGACUCCAUACGGGAGGCAGCAGUGGGGAAUAUUGGACAAUGGGCGAAAGGCCUGAUCCAGCCAUGCCGCGUGUGUGAAGAAGGUCUUCGGAUUGUAAAGCACUUAAAGUUGGGAGGAAGGGCAUUAACCUAAUACGUUAGUGUUUGACGUUACCGACAGAAUAAGCACCGGCUAACUCUGUGCCAGCAGCCGGGUAAUACAGAGGGUGCAAGCGUUAAUCGGAAUUACUGGGCGUAAAGCGCGCGUAGGUGGUUCGUAAGUUGAAUGUGAAAUCCCCGGGCUCAACCUGGGAACUGGAUCCAAAAUUGGCGAGCUAGAGUAUGGUAAAGGGU
rnacentral:rRNA from 1 species